GAUGAACGCUAGCGGCAGGCUUAAUACAUGCAAGUCGAGGGGCAGCACAGAUAGCAAUAUUGGGUAGCGACCGGCAAACGGGUGCGGAACACGUACACAACCUUCCUUUUAGUGUGGGAUAGCCCAGAGAAAUUUGGAUUAAUACCACAUAGUAUAUUGGAGUGGCAUCACUUUGAUAUUAAAGAUUUAUCGCUAAAAGAUGGGUGUGCGUAUGAUUAGGUAGUUGGUAGAGGUAACGGCUCACCAAGCCUUCGAUCAUUAACUGGUGUGAGAGCACGACCAGUCACACGGGCACUGAGACACGGGCCCGACUCCUACGGGAGGCAGCAGUAAGGAAUAUUGGUCAAUGGACGGAAGUCUGAACCAGCCAUGCCGCGUGAAGGAUGACGGCCCUCUGGGUUGUAAACUUCUUUUAUGUGGGACGAAAAAGGGCCAUUUUUGGUCAACUGACGGUACCAUAGGAAUAAGCACCGGCUAACUCCGUGCCAGCCGCCGCUGUAAGAC
rnacentral:rRNA from 1 species